rnacentral:misc_RNA from 1 species
GGAAGUAAAAGUCGUACAAGGUCUCCGUUGGUGAACCAGCGGAGGGAUCAUUACCGAGUUUACAACUCCCAAACCCAAUGUGAACCAUACCAAACUGUUGCCUCGGCGGGGUCACGCCCCGGGUGCGUCGCAGCCCCGGAACCAGGCGCCCGCCGGAGGGACCAACCAAACUCUUUCUGUAGUCCCCUCGCGGACGUUAUUUUUACAGCUCUGAGCAAAAAUUCAAAAUGAAUCAAAACUUUCAACAACGGAUCUCUUGGUUCUG